rnacentral:rRNA from 1 species
AGGAUUAACGCUGGCGGCGUGCAUGAAACAUGCAAGUCGAGCGCGGUGUGAUGAGGGGUAACCCAAUUCACAUCUAGCGGCGAACGGGUGAGUAACACGUGAGCAACCUACCUUUGAGUUGGGGAUAGCCCUGGGAAACCAGGAUUAAUACCCGAUGUGGUCACAACAGGACAUCCUGAUGUGAGUAAAGGCGUAAGCCGCUCAAUGACGGGCUCGCGGCCUAUUAGCUUGUUGGUGGGGUAACGGCCUACCAAGGCGAUGAUGGGUAGCUGGUCUGAGAGGACGAUCAGCCACACUGGGACUGAGACACGGCCCAGACUCCUACGGGAGGCAGCAGUUGGGAAUCUUGCGCAAUGGGCGAAAGCCUGACGCAGCAACGCCGCGUGCGGGAAGAGGCCCUAGGGUUGUAAACCGCUUCAGUAGGAACGAAAUGACGGUACCUGCAGAAGAAGGUGCGGCCAACUACGUGCCAGCAGGCCGCGGUAAUCGUA